rnacentral:ncRNA from 1 species
UGAAAUAUAGAUAAGUCUAUAUAGAGGUUCGAACUGGUUGAUAUUGCAAAAUCAUCAGAAGAGAUGAGAUCAGCGGUGAAAUGCCUACUGAAUUCGGAGUUAGCUGGUUCUCCUCGAAAUGUGUUGAGGCGUAGCUAUUAUGAAUACAUAUUUAAGGGGGUAAAGCACUAUAUAUAAUAUAUAAUAUUGUAUUAACAAUAUAAGAAUUUAUAUAUAAACUAACAAUACCUAACUAUGUUAUAAAAAUAAUAAGUGAGACUAUUGGGGAGAAUCUCAAGAGUCUAAAGGGAAACAACCCACAUC